rnacentral:rRNA from 1 species
AUUGAACGCUGGCGGCAGGCCUAACACAUGCAAGUCGAACGAGUGGCGGACGGGUGAGUAAUGUCUGGGAAACUGCCUGCUGGAGGGGGAUAACUACUGGAAACGGUAGCUAAUACCGCAUACCAUCGGAUGUGCACAGAUGGGAUUAGCUAGUAGGUGGGGUACAGGCUCACCUAGGCGACGAUCCCUGGCUGGUCUGAGAGGAUGACGAGCAACACUGGAACUGCGACACGGUCCAGACUCCGACGUGAGGCAGCAGUGGGGAAUAUUGCAGAAUGGGCGCAAGCCUGAUGUAGCCAUGCCGCGUGUAUGAAGAAGGCCUUCGGGUUGUAAAGUACUUUCAGCGGGGAGGCGUUACCCGCAGAAGAAGCACCGGCUAACUCCGUGCCAGCAGCCGCGGUAAUUC